rnacentral:lncRNA from 1 species
GAGUUGUGAUUAAUAUAUUUGAUGUGAGAACUGGUAAAGUGAUGCGGGAUUUCAAAGGAAGUGCUGAUGAUUUUGCAAUUGGAGGUACUGGAGGUGUCACUGGGGUGUCAUGGCCUGUUUUCAAGUAUAACUCUCUCUCUCUUCCUCUCUGUGUGUGUGCGUGUCAGUGUGGGUGUAUCUGUGUCUAGGUUAAGUGUUUUAGCAUCUGACAUGGCCAGUGAUAAAUGUGGUACUAUCUUUGCAGAUGGAGUAGUGGAGAUAAGUACUUUGCAAGGAUGGGGAAAAAUGUACUCUCUGUAUAUGAGACAGAGACCUUCUCCCUGGUUGACAAAAAAUCAUUGAAGGUUGAAAAUAUAAUGGAUUUUAGCUGGUCCCCAACUGAUCCAAUCAUUGCACUCUUUGUUCCUGAGAGUGGUGGUGAUAACCAGCCUGCUAGGGUAAGUUUGUAUUUUCCUUGCCUUCUCUGGCCAGUGAUUGAGAUUCCUCUCUGUGUGUGUGCGUGUCAGUGUGGGUGUAUCUGUGUCUAGGUUAAGUGUUUUAGCAUCUGACAUGGCCAGUGAUAAAUGUGGUACUAUCUUUGCAGAUGGAGUAGUGGAGAUAAGUACUUUGCAAGGAUGGGGAAAAAUGUACUCUCUGUAUAUGAGACAGAGACCUUCUCCCUGGUUGACAAAAAAUCAUUGAAGGUUGAAAAUAUAAUGGAUUUUAGCUGGUCCCCAACUGAUCCAAUCAUUGCACUCUUUGUUCCUGAGAGUGGUGGUGGUAACCAGCCUGCUAG